rnacentral:rRNA from 1 species
GACGAACGCUGGCGGCGUGCCUAAUACAUGCAAGUAGAACGCACAGUUUAUACCGUAGCUUGCUACACCAUAGACUGUGAGUUGCGAACGGGUGAGUAACGCGUAGGUAACCUGCCUGGUAGCGGGGGAUAACUAUUGGAAACGAUAGCUAAUACCGCAUAAUAUUAAUUAUUGCAUGAUAAUUAAUUGAAAGGUGCAAUUGCACCACUACCAGAUGGACCUGCGUUGUAUUAGCUAGUAGGUGAGGUAACGGCUCACCUAGGCGACGAUACAUAGCCGACCUGGGAGGGUGAUCGGCCACACUGGGAGUGGGACACGGCCCAGACUCCUGCGAGAGGCAGCAGUAGGGAAUCGUCGGCAAUGGACGAGAGUCUGACCGAGCAACGCCGCGUGAGUGACGAAGGUGCUCGGAGCGUAAUGCUCUGUUGUAAGAGAAGAACGGGUGUGAGAGUGGAAAGUUCACAUUGUGACGGUAUCUAACCAGAAAGCGACGGCUAACUACGUG